GUGAGCCAGCUGAUCGAUCUUUUUUAAUUCAGGAUAGCAAGGGAUACGGUAUGGAGGUUUGCCGUACGCCGCGCCGGUGACGGAGGCCGCAGCUGGCGCCGUGACGGCAGAUUCCCGGAGCCGUGGCCCGGGACGCUGUUGUACUCCUGAUCCGUAGCUCAGGAACUGAGCACUCCGGUAAGCCGAGCUGUGGACCGUAGUAAAUGAGGAAGCAGGCCAGGGCGGUGCUGUCUCCCACCUCUCUCCACGUUUUGUUGGAUCGCCAUUGACGCCCCGCGGAGGUCGGCGGUGCAGGGAAAACAGGGCGGCGACUGUCGGGCUGGAGUUCCUGAUGCAAACUAUUAGGAGCGCCGCGGUGAUGGAAGAGGUCAACGACAACGAGCUACCAAUGGAGCCGCUGCACUACCCCGCGGUGGCGGCAGGAGCCGAGGAGCUACGGCCAAUGGGCACAGGUCGCGUUGACGACGAGAUCUGUGUAGCUCGUGGAGCAGUUGCAUCCGAGCAGGAUAAGGAACCACAAGCAUCUGAGCAAUCAAUUGGGCAGAUGAUCCAAAAACUCCGGCUGGACUCGCAGAGUUAGAAUUGGAGCUGCUGCUCCAGGAAGGGUGCCUUGCCCUGGCUGACCCAGCGCCCUUGAGAAGGCAAUACGGGGGUUCGGUGACAAACCAUGCAACAUUGUAAUCGUGCCAGAACUGGGUACAAGCUUCGACAAGCUCGGGGAGGCCUAUGAUUUUUAUUUGCAGGGUAAAGCAGGGGUGGAAACACACUAGAUCAUGCAGAUGUGUGUACCCUACAUUAAUAAGACUGCUUCGAUCGAAGGACAAUGAUUGGUACAUAGCUGAGCAUCGAGAACAUCACAACCAUUCACUGUCUCCAACAUAUGGGCAGACAAUACACUGGCCUUCCCACAAGCACAUUGAUACAUACAAUGGAGAUUUGGGGAGCAGCUGCGUCAGAACAAUGUCAAUCUAGCCAAAGUGCAUAGCAUAAUAGGAAGCUUUUUGGUUCAAUGGAAAAGGUGCCAUUCACGAAAAGAGCUCUGAAAUUUUUGUGUGAAAAAAUCAGCAGAGAGCAAGCAGAGAAUGAUGUGAGGAAAACAAUGGAGGUUUUUGCAGGUCUGGGUUCAACGGACCCACACUUCACUUACCGUGUGCAGGCAGACAAGGAUGGUCGGAUAACAACUCUGAUGUGGGCAAAUGGGAGCAUUAGAUUGCAGUACACCUUCUUUGGAGAUGUUUUUACCUUCGAUACAACAUACAGAACAAAUCUGUACAACAUGCCGUUUGGUCUGUUUGUAGGAGUGAAUAAUCAUUUCCAGAGCAUCAUCUUGGCUGGGAUUUUGGUCCGUGAUGAAAAAGUGGAGACUUUUGAGUGGGUUUCCACAGAAUGCGUUAGGAUGAUGGCUGGAAGUGCACCAAAGACAAUUCUAACAGAUCAAAACCGUGCGAUGGAGGUUGCCAUAAAAAAUGUGAUGCCUCAAACAGCACACCGAUGGUGUAAGUGGCACGUGCUGAAAAAGGCGAAGGAAUCACUCGGUUCAUUGUACACCAAGAAGAGCGAGUUCACGGCACAGUUCCACAAGGUAGUAAAUCACAUGCUUACGAUCGAUGAAUUCGAGGAAGCAUGGAAGAUACUGGUUGAGUAAUAUAAUUUAAAGACGCAUGACUACAUGACUCGAACUGUAUGAAAUAAGACACAAGUGGGCGAAGCCAUAUUUCAAAGGUGUUUUCUGUGCUAAGAUGACAAGCACCCAAUGCAGUGAAAGUGCAAACCACAUGCUGAAGAGCUAUGUCCCACCUGGUUGUCUGAUGCAUAUGUUUGUCAAAAAAUACAUGAGACUGCAGUUUGACAGGGAAGCUGAGGAGAACUACGAGGAGAAACGGACACGAAUAGUAAGUCAACGUUUGGUAAUUGCCACUAGUUUUGUAGUGCUGACCUCUACGUUUCAGGGUAGAACACUAUACAAAGCAAACUUAGCUAUUGACAGACAUGCUGGUAAGAUAUAGACACGUGCUAUGUUCGAGCAGUUUGGACAUAUACUCUAUGAGUGCGGUGCAUACCAAGUUGAGGAGCUUGAGAAAGGGAAACUGUAUCUUGCGAUUCAUACAGAGGCUGCAAGGAGAGAAAAGUGGUGUAGGGUGUCAUAUAAGGUAAAUGUUCUUGAAGGAGGUGAGGAAUUCGAUUGCGAGUGUGGGCAAUUUGCACACAUGAGACUCCUUUGUAGCCAUGUUUUGAAGGUGAUGGAUUUCAUUCGUAUUACAGAGAUACCGCCGAAACACAUUGUGAAGCGAUGGACGAGGGACGCGUGUGAUGUGCUGCCAGCCCAUCUUACUCAAUACCAGAGAGAUCAUGCACACAAAAAUACAAGCACCAACAGCAGCUGCUGUGAGUGGGGGUGCAGGCAUCGAGGCAGUGAAUGAUGAUGCUACUUCUGGAAAUGAGACUGGGAACAGACACACUGGUUUAUUGGCGCCGAAGAAAUGGAAAGAAAUGGGGCGCCCAACAACCAGCCGGGAGAAGGCACCGUACGAGGGACUCAGCAAGCGGACAAUGUUCUGCAGCAUAUGUCGGCAGCAGGGGCACAAGAGGACUACAUGCCUGGACCGGGGAGAUGCCCCGAAGCCUGUUUGUAAACCAGCAAGGUGCAAGAAUUGUGGGAUUGAAGGUCACAGACGGAACAACUGCCAGAAAUUGGGUGAUUUACGGAUGAUUGGCUUGUGAGGAGGUGCAGCAGACUAUGUACUUAAGACAAUAAUUCUGUAGAGCUUAAUGUGUGCAACUGUAGUUCCAUGCUAUAGAAUUAUAGGUACCACCAUUUCUGAGCACUAUGGUGGUGUGUAUGCUUCUGAAUUUUUGGGCAAUAAGUUGGAGUUCAUAAUUGGAAAAUAUAAUAAAAAUGUACUGAGGUGAAGCAUACUGAAUUUUGAAGAACUACGGUAGUGUCUACAUUCCUGAAUUUUUGGGCAAUAAGUUGGAGUUCAUAAUUGGAAAAUAUAAUAAAAAUGUACUGAGGUGAAGCAUACUGAAUUUUGAAGCACUACAGUAGUGUCUACAUUUCUGAAUUUUUGGGCAAUUUGUUGAUGUCCAGAAUUUGAAAAUUUUAUAAUUAAAGUUCUGCUUUUCUGAAUUUGUAUGCAAUAUGGUGAUGCAUACUGAAUUUCUUAGCACGAUGGUGGUGCCUAUAAUUCUAUAGCAUGGUGCACAGGCAGAGUCCUCUCUCAGAGUCUGACCAUUUUUUUUGAAAUGGGAGUCUGACCAUUAGAAACACACUGUUCUUGCUGGAUUGCAAAAUCAGAUCCAUCUCAGAAGCUGGAUGGAGUAUCCGCAGAGGUGCAGGUAUCUGAUGCAUCUGAAAAGUUCACUCAACCAGCCUGACGGAGGAGAACUAGCUGCUAGUUCAUCAAGGAGUGUCUGCAGUGGUUGGGCAGCGGACGGCGCGUGCAAACGAGGAACUGCAAGCGGAGAAGAUAGGGGAUGGAUGUAUAUCGCGAGGAAGAAGAUGGGUAGACUGGUGGUGGGUGCUGGUCCACAAUAAAUGGUUAUCAGACGGCGUCGGCUCAGGAUCCGCGCUAUACCGGCCUAGUUCGCUAGUGCAUGUCUGAGCCAAAGCCUACUUAGCUGACGGCGUAUCAAGCCCGUUACGAGAGGCAUGGGCCCUCAUAACUGUUCACCUGGUGAUAUACGGGAAUAAUGCCUGGGCUUAUACCGGAUGGAUUGGGGAUCACGAGGAUUGUAGGCGGGUAGGAUACCAAGAGCGCCUGUGCUCGGGCACAGAAGAUCACUUUCGCUUCUCUGAUCUAUAUGCUCAUAUUACUCCCUCCUUCCCAAAUUAGGAUGCUUAUCCAGAGAUGUUCAUAUUAGUUUU